rnacentral:rRNA from 1 species
AGCCUGAUGCNGCCAUGCCGCGUGUGNGAAGAAGGCCUUCGGGUUGUNAAGCACUUUCAGCGGGGAGGAAGGCGNUNAGGUUAAUAACCUNNUCGAUUGACGUUACCCGCAGAAGAAGCACCGGCUAACUCCGUGCCAGCAGCCGCGGUAAUACGGAGGGUGCAAGCGUUAAUCGGAAUUACUGGGCGUAAAGCGCACGCAGGCGGUCUGUCAAGUCGGAUGUGAAAUCCCCGGGCUCAACCUGGGAACUGCAUUCGAAACUGGCAGGCUAGAGUCUUGUAGAGGGGGGUAGAAUUCCAGGUGUAGCGGUGAAAUGCGUAGAGAUCUGGAGGAAUACCGGUGGCGAAGGCGGCCCCCUGGACAAAGACUGACGCUCAGGUGCGAAAGCGUGGGGAGCAAACAGGAUUANAUACCCUGGUAGUCCACGCCGUAAACGAUGUCNAUUUGGAGGUUGUGCCCUUGAGGCGUGGCUUCCGGAGCUAACGCGUUAAAUCGACCGCCUGGGGAGUACGGCCGCAAGGUUAAAACUCAAAGGNAUUUGACGGGG